UGGCUGAAUGGUAAAGCGCUCGGCUUUUGAACCGAGGGUUCCGGGUUAGAAUCCUGG
rnacentral:tRNA from 1 species